rnacentral:rRNA from 1 species
AUACGUAGGUGACGAGCGUUAUCCGGAUUUACUGGGCGUAAAGGGCGUGUAGGCGGUCUUGCAAGUCAGAAGUGAAAUUCCUGAGCUCAACUCGGGCGCUGCUUCUGAAACUGCAGGACUUGAGUGCUGGAGGGGAUAGCGGAAUUCCUAGUGGAGCGGUAAAAUGCGCAGAUAUUAGGAAGAACACCGGUGGCGAAGGCGGGUAUCUGGACAGUAACUGACGCUGAGGCGCGAAGGCGUGGGGAGCAAACAGGAUUAGAUACCCGGGUAGCCCACGCCGUAAACGAUGAAUACUAGGUGUAGGGGGUAUCGACUCCCUCUGUGCCGCAGUUAACACAAUAAGUAUUCCGCCUGGGGAGUACGGCCGCAAGGUUGAAACUCAAAUGAAUUGACGG